AGAGUCAAAGAUGAUCAACAGACUGACCUUCAAACAAGAGAGAUCACAAACCUGGAAGAAAAUGUCAGUUAUUCAUUCCAGAUACGUGCUGAAACACAUUUUGGACUUGGAGGAUGGAGCAACGUCUCAUUAUCUUUAACACUGCCACACAGGAACGCAUUAACUCAGACGCCUAUCACUAGACUGAGCAGUUUUCUGAUUAUCGUUAUCUGUGUGG